GAUGAACGCUGGCGGCGUGCCUAAUACAUGCAAGUCGAGCGAACGGACGAGAAGCUUGCUUCUCUGAUGUUAGCGGCGGACGGGUGAGUAACACGUGGAUAACCUACCUAUAAGACUGGGAUAACUUCGGGAAACCGGAGCUAAUACCGGAUAAUAUUUUGAACCGCAUGGUUCAAAAGUGAAAGACGGUCUUGCUGUCACUUAUAGAUGGAUCCGCGCUGCAUUAGCUAGUUGGUAAGGUAACGGCUUACCAAGGCAACGAUGCAUAGCCGACCUGAGAGGGUGAUCGGCCACACUGGAACUGAGACACGGUCCAGACUCCGACGGGAGGCAGCAGUAGGGAAUCUUCCGCAAUGGGCGAAAGCCUGACGGAGCAACGCCGCGUGAGUGAUAAAGGUCUUCGGAUCGUAAAACUCUGUUAUUAGGGAAGAACAUAUGUGUAAGUAACUGUGCACAUCUUGACGGUACCUAAUCAGAAAGCCACGGCUAACUACGUG
rnacentral:rRNA from 1 species